AGGACUAACGCUGGCGGCGUGCCUAACACAUGCAAGUCGAACGAGGUAGCAAUACCUAGUGGCAGACGGGUGAGUAACGCGUGGUCAACCUACCUCUUAGUGGGGGAUAACUAGCCGAAAGGUUAGCUAAUACCGCAUACGAUCGUCGCGAGGCAUCUCGUGACGAUGAAAGGAGCAAUUCGCUAAGAGAGGGGACUGCGUCCCAUUAGUUAGUUGGUGGGGUAAUGGCCCACCAAGACUCCGAUGGGUAGCUGGCUUGAGAGAGCGACCAGCCACACUGGAACUGAGACACGGUCCAGACUCCUACGGAGGCAGCAGUGAGGAAUUUUCCGCAAUGGGCGCAAGCCUGACGGAGCGACGCCGCGUGUGGGAAGAAGGCCUUCGGGUCGUAACCACUGUCGAAGGGGACGAUAUUGACGGUACCCUUGGAGGAAGCCCGGCUAACUACGCGCCAGCAGCCGC
rnacentral:rRNA from 1 species